GGGGAUGAACGGUUUCGACAGGUUGUACGUUUAAAAUAGGCAAGCCAGGCAUGAUACUCACCUGCCAAACGCGUAUCAAAUGUUAUAAGUGCAAACUUCAUAACUAAAGCGAAGACCGCGAUUGCAGAAGCUUUCGCUCCGUCUUUUGCUCUUGCUCGAGCCUAAAUCCCUUUCCGGGAUUGCUUGAGCCAUCGGACUAUUGAUUCCUAAUAGAUAUCCUCCGGUGUCAACCAUUAGGAUAGAAAAUAUAGUUUUGUUUAAGUUAUAUUUUUGAAACUAAUUUAAACAUAGGAUAAAAAGAUUUUGUCUGCUCAUUACUUUUUAUCCGAUCCCCGCCUCGGCGGGGGAAUAAGCAGACUAAGCUUGUAGAUUAAUUUAGACAAACAAUUUUGGACGCGAGUUCAAUUCUCGCCAUCUCCACAU
rnacentral:tmRNA from 1 species